AAGGGGAGAAAGUGUCCACUUUAAAAUAUUUUCCAGAUGGAAAAAAUGCAAGAAUUUUUCCUGCUUUAUGUAAAUUUUUGGUCUGGUGAGUUGCCAAUUUGAACUUGUUUUUGUUUCAUGUGAGAUUCAGAUACACAGUGAUAUCUAUAUGGUUCUUUGAAAGGCUUUCAGCUGCUGAGGAAGUGUAUUUAUGCUUUCGGUUCAAAAGAACUUAUUCCCUGGAAAGCACUGAAAAAAAAAUGAGGACAUUUCAGAAUUAUUUUCAGAUUAUUUUUCAUAUUCCUUUUUGAUACUAUAGGUUAUUUUAUCUGUUAUAGGUGUUAAGUACUUUUUUAUAAAGUAAAAAUUUAGACUAUAUUUGGAAAAAAUACCUAGCUAUAUCUGAUAUUUAAAAGAUGUUUUGUCAAAAGCAUAAAUUAACAAAGGUGACAAGUUAAUGGAGGUGGGCAAGUUAAUUGAACUCUUUCGCAUUAUUUGAGAAAAUAGCAUAUGUUUGCUGACUUUGGGAAUCAUGGCUGGUGAGAAAUCACUAAAGAUUUACCAGAGGCGACUUUAUCAUAAACAAAAUCUACUAAAAUCUGCAGGUUCGAAUUCAUAAUGGUUAUAAAUGUUUCUAGUAUUCAUACUGUCCAAAAGUUUCAAAUCACAUGUCCAAUAGCAGCUGAUUUGUUAGUUUUUAGGGAUGGUUAAAUAUAUGCCCAUAUUUUAUUAAUUCAUACUAUCCACAAGUCCAGAUACAAUGUAAUAAAACAUUUUCAGUGAAUCACUUUCUUCCUUUUAAGUAUUUACUUCUUUGACCUGGUCAAAUUAGUGAACUGAUUUAGAAGAUAAAAUCUAGAAAAUACCACAGGUCUUACAAUGUCAAAUAUUGAUCAUUGGUGGUACACAUAGGUAGCUUUUGUUUUUGUUUUAUGGAAAAAUAUGUUAGAAGUGUUGAUGGGAGGCUAAACUAUUUGAUUCAUAUCAACCUGUAUAUUUUUAAGUUCUACAUAUUUUUAAUUUCUUUACAAAUAUUUUAAUACUUAUUGUUAAGUACAUAUACACCAAGAGAAAAUAUUAAAUAAAGGGAAACACUUGCUUGGGGAGUUUAAAUUAGCUUUAAAUAUAUAUAUAUAUAUAGUGUAGUUUUUGACUAUUUUAGAUCAUAGUUCAUUGCCUCACUUGGCAUGAAAUAAAAACAUCAUAUUUAACAUAUGCCUAUCAGUAUUUCUUUAUAUUUUGUAAACAUCCUACAUGCAAAAUUGGUAUUAAGUUUAACAUAAAAUUUCACUCAAGAAUUAUAAAGACUAAGUUAGAUUACCAACUCAAGUAGUGUAUGUGCUCUCACAACUGUUUGGCUGCCAAACAUAGGUUAAAAAAAUUUCUUUACCUAAACUCUUUGCAUUGUAAUGAAAUAAAUUCUGACUGCUUGAAAAGUCAUGAUCUACUGAAAAUUUGCCUGUAAAAUAAUUCAUAAACAUUAAAUAUUUUGAAUAUAGGAUUCUUCACAAUUGAUAUAAAUAAUUUUGUAUGUACAUUUGAUAACAUCAGUGUUGAUUUUUAAUGUUUAUCAUUAUUUUCUGUGAUUUGUCUAAUACAUAUUUGGUUAUUUUUAUUAAAGUAUUGGGUACUUUCUCCAAGACUGAAAUGUCAAUAUAAAGUGUACUUGAUUGUAUUAAAAAUGUGUUGCAGAAAUUGAGCAAGCAAAGAAAAAUAUAAAGGCUUUUUAUGGUCUUUUUCUGUAGCUCUUUAUUGAUGCUAUAGAUAAGAUGGUGCUGCUAUGUUAGUGAAAGAUAAAAUACAAAAAAUUUCACUUACUUCAAAACUUGAACAGAAAGGCUAUUUUAUUUUUUUUUAUUUAUGCAUUUAAAGUCCAAGUUUGUUUUCUCUUUUUUAAAAUCCUGAGUGACACUUGAAAUGUCUCAACAAUUUUCAGACUUCUUGAUGAUGGACUAUUUGUGGCAAUUUUAAAGAAAAUCUGUUUUAUAGGUAGCAUAAAACACUUUUAAGAUUGUGUCUCUAGCACAAUUUGUGAUACAGGAGGAGUAUCUUAAAGACAAAAGACUUAGGAUAAUACAGACCUUACUGGGUAGAUAUAAUCUUCUUUCAACUUCAGAUUUGAACACUUGCAGUGUGGUAUAUCAUAAAUGUGGGUUUCUUAAGAGAUUUUCUUACUAGAAAUCAAAUCCUUGGUGACACACAUUUGUGUUAGUCUUUUCAACAGUGGGUUGAAGUUCAGCCAUAGCCUGAGGGAGAAUCUCCUGAUCAUUGUAAACUGCAAUAGUAAAGACUCUGUUUUUGACAGGUGCAAACCAUAAAAAUUACCCUGUCAUUUUUCCUAACUUAAUAAAGCUUAAAGACCAAUCAUAUCUAAGUUGUCUUUUGGUGUUUUAAUAUUUACCAUUUUAAAACAGAAAAUGGUUCCUUUGUGCAAAUUUUUUGGGGUUGAUGCAUUGUCAGAUUCUAAGAACUCACUUAAAUAAACAAGAUUAGCACUAGCAAUCUUAUUAUUUUUUUUUCACAAGCAGUAAUUCUGACAAUAAUAGUAUGUCUAUCAGUUAGGUAAGAACUAGCCAGUGCAGUACCACUGUGAAUUCUAGCAAGAAAGAUAAUGUGAGAUGUUUUGGUUUUAUGUUUCUCAAGCUAAAAGACAAAGGAGUGUUAGUGAACUAAACUUGGACUCCUUUAGCCCUGACACUUGUAUUCAGUGAGCUUCCAGUAUAUAAUUAUUUGGUUUAAUAUCUAAACUAUAUUUUCAUAUAAGUGCCAAUAGCACAGUAUUUUAUAGUAAUUGCUUUCAAUUAUUUCAUCAAUAAAGCUAAGUCCCUAGAUAUCCUGGGAAAAAAUUGUGUAUACUUUAUAAAUUCUUGUUUGUGGGUGAUUCAAAUGAUAGACAUUAUAAAACUGUGUUUUCUAAUUUUUACAUUUUAUUCUCAUAAGAUUGUCUUUUUUCUAAUUUAUUGAAUAUAUCAAGAUUUGUUUACAAAAACUUAUCUAGUAAAAUAAUUUUUUAAAAUUGAUAAUUUCAAAUUAGAAAGAAUGUCUAGUUUCUCUCACAGUCACCACAAAAGUUUACUUGUGAGUCUGCUUAAUCUGUUUUUACUACAUAUGCACACUCUAAGAAAAUCGUGUCAAGAAAUAACAUAGCUAACACCUAUGAACAAUUUUUUGGCAGUCUGUAACUUUUGUAGCAUGUUCUUUGGGAACGUACCUUGUCUGCACUUCCACAAAGGCUAAUUUGUCAUUUGUUAAUGGAAAAAAAUCAUAGAGAUACAAGUGUACUUUGAAAUCAUUUGGAGAACUUAUACCCCCUUGAUUUAAUAAAGGAGUUGCUUUGUGAUACCUCUCAGAGAGCAAUACAUGUCCUGCUUGAACAUGGAAAGUGACAAGAGUACACUACCUCACCAAGAUAGCAACUUUAAUUCAUGAACAUCUCUUCUUUUGUUGAGCAAAAUUAAUUCUAUUUUUUUUUUAAAUCUCCUGAUACCAAUGUGGCUAUAUAGAAUUUUUUUCUCGAUUACAUUUGAGCUUGAAAGUCUCAUGUGCCUUGGUUUCCAAAACCUAUACUCUCCCAGUUCCCCUCACCUAAAUAGUUUUUCCAUGUUAAUCUUUAUGUGUGAUAUGCAUCUGAAUGUGAUCCACUUUACAGUCUUACUAUGAAAAGACAUCUCUCUCUUUUAAACAGAUGUUCUGCUUGUCUGAAAGAUUUCAGGACUAUACUAUUUUUAAUAUGGAAUUUACACUUGUCUUUUAUGAAUUUAGAUUUUGCACACUUCUCUUUUUGAGGUUUAUGAUUGGUUAACUUGCUCCUUGCUGUCAGUGUUCAUUCUUUCAGCUGCUUAAGAUUUUCUAAUCUAAGGAAGCCUAGCAUGUGCAAGUACAAGUUAAAAAUUUUGUCUUCAGCCCUAUUGCAUAUACAUUUUUAAACAUUUAUUUAUUUAUUUAUCCAUCUAUCUAUUUAUUUAUUUAUAUGUGGUACUGUGGAUUGAACCCAGUGCCUCACACAUGAGCGGCGAGUGCACUACCACUGAUCUACAACCCUAGCCCACAUAUAUUUUAAAGACCUCCUGACACCAUUUAAUGUAAUUGAAAAACACUAUCAAACAACAAAACACUAUUAAACAAAUCUUAAAAAUAGCUAGUGUUCUUGUUGCUUUUAGAUAUUUUGAAUAAUUUUGCUCAUCAAUAACUUAUGUAGAUUCAUUAUUUUUAUGCUUAAAUGAGUCUUGCUUCUACAUAGCCUCCCACUUUUCCAAACACCACACCCUUCUCUCAGAGGGAAGAAAUGCAUAAUUGCAAAUUUUCAUACCACAAUGGGAAAUCCAGAGUUACUGAGAAUUCCAAGCAUUCAACUUGACAUUUAGCAUAUUUAGGUGAGACCUAUGUAGAGCCAUAUUUGGGGCAGGAUUAGGAAUAAGAAAGAACUUAGUUAUUUGUGUCAAUAUCUUUAUUGCAGGUGAAGAGUUAAGAAUUAUAUGCAUUGUGCAUUAUAUUUAAAAUUGAAGUGGCAGCCAUAGUGUAUUGCUAUGUAUUGUAUUAUAGAUCUUCAAAGCUGUGAGAAAUAGGUGGUAUAAACCUGAUAUUCUUGAGGAAUCCAUACAUAAAGGUGUUCCUGAGUAAUUAAGUUUCAAAAGUACUCCAUUCAUUUCCAAUCACCUUGAAAGUUGAAAAUAUCAUAAGUCAAAAAUGCAGUACACCUACUCAACAGUCCAGCCUACCAGUGCAGUACAAUGUAGAAUGUUGGUUGUUUAUUCUAAUGACAAUGUGGUUCACUGGGAUCUGUACUUUUGCUGCCACUGGACAAAAAGAUUAUCAUACCACAUAUGAUUAAUAUUGGAAAAGGAUAAAAUUCAGCAUUGGAAGUUUGUUUACUACUGAAUGCAUAUCACUUUCACACUAAUGUAAAGUUUAAAAACAAGUCAAACUAUCAUUUUGUCAGUGCCCAUGUAUAUAUUAAAUUUUUUUCGAGCACCAGGGAUUAAACUCAGGGAACUUGAACACUGAGCCACAUCCCCACCCCUAUCUUUUUAAAAAUAUUUUUUCGUUGUUGUUGGACAUUCAUUUAUUUAUUUGUAUGUGGUGCUGAGAAUUGAACCCAGUGCCUCACACAUGCUAGGCAAGCAUGCUACCACUGAAUCACAACCCCAGCCCCCCAGCCCUAUCUUAGAUUUUAUUUAGAGACAAAGCUUCACUGAGUUGCUUAGUGCCUCACUUUUGCUGAGGCUGGCUUUGAACUCAAGAUCCUCCUGCCUCAGCCUCCAGAACAGCAGGGAUUAGAAGUGCAUGCCACUGCAUUCAGCUUAUAUUAAGUUUAAAAUGUUCAGCAGUUACUCACUAUUAUAUGUCAGGCAUAAUUCUUGUGAGUAUGAGGAAUAUAGACUUGCAUCCAUUCAGAAGGACUCUUAUUCAUCUCCCAUACAAUUUUUAUUCAUAAAUAAUUAUAUUGUUUAUUUUAUUGUUGUGAAAAUCUACAACCAAGAAAUAUAAGUUAAAUUAAAUUUUGUUUAUUGUAAUUUUAGUAUGGAUGAUGGACGUAAGGGCAAUGAAAACAUUACAGAAGAAAAACAUAUCUGGAAUAAAUGAGGAGAAAUAAGUUGGAGAUAAGUACCAAAUUUCAAAGAGCGUAUCAUACAGCUUGGAAAAUGAAGUUUAUGCUUUAAACUUAAUGGUAUUCCUUUGAACAAAGAUAGAACAGCAUGCUUAAUGUUGGACAAGGAACAAUUUAUUUUUUAGAGGCUUUAUAUCAUAUAAGAGUUUACAUAUUGAUUUCCAAAAAAGCAAUAAAUUGGUCCCAGACCACAGGAUGAAAUCUUACUUUAAAAUAAAAUGAUUUUGCUUCCACUUAACACUGAAAUAUUUUUUGCUGGAAUAACUUUCUACGAUGAAGGUACCUAUUAUUCUUAUCCACUUUUUUUUUUACAUUUAUCAUAUGCUAAGACAAGAACAUAGCCAACUUGUUUUGAGAGUGUUUCUUAGAAUAUUGGUUGAGAAGUGAAAAAAAAUCCUUCAAGAAGGAAAAUGUAAAUAAAACUAAUUUAAAACUUUAUAUCAUGUAUCAGAUACUCUCAAUUUCACAAGAGAAAUAUUUUAAUUUAAAAAUUUGCUGGUUUAGCUUAGUUAAAUAUAAUACUAUUUAAUGAGUGCAAGUGUGAAAGUGCUAAGCACCUUGCAUGAUGUUUUCCCAAAACUCUAUAAAAUAAAG
rnacentral:lncRNA from 1 species